rnacentral:rRNA from 1 species
UACGUAGGGUGCAAGCGUUGUCCGGAAUUAUUGGGCGUAAAGAGCUCGUAGGCGGUCUGUCGCGUCUGUUGUGAAAACUCGAGGCUCAACCUCGGGCUUGCAGUGGAUACGGGCAGACUAGAGUGCGGUAGGGGAGACUGGAAUUCCUGGUGUAGCGGUGGAAUGCGCAGAUAUCAGGAGGAACACCGAUGGCGAAGGCAGGUCUCCUGGGCUGACACUGACGCUCAUGCACGAAAGCGUGGGGAGCAAACAGG